CCGGUAGUUGUGAAUAACAGCUUCAAUGACAAGGGCGUCAUCGUGAGGCAUCUGAACACCCUGAGCAUCCUCCGAGGAGAAAGUGAUGGUUGUUGAAGAGUGUUCAACGAUUUGCAUGACCUCAGCACUGCUAGUUUCUCCUUCUCUGCUUCUCUUUUUCCCUCUUCGGCUCAUCCGACCUCCCGUGCCUCCUACGAUCAUGUUGAUAGUUCCACUGGACCCGUCAUUCACAGUGUUAGCCCCUGUUCUUCUCGGCGUUUGGGCUGCCGAAUUGGGUUGAGGUCUCUGUCC
rnacentral:lncRNA from 1 species